UACGUAGGGUCCGAGCGUUGUCCGGAAUUAUUGGGCGUAAAGGGCUCGUAGGCGGUCUGUUGCGUCGGGAGUGAAAAUUCACAGCUUAACUGUGAACUUGCUUCCGAUACGGGCAGACUUGAGGUAUUCAGGGGAGAACGGAAUUCCUGGUGUAGCGGUGAAAUGCGCAGAUAUCAGGAGGAACACCGGCGGUGUAGACGGCUUUCUGGACCGUAGCUGACGCUGAGACACGAAAGCGUGGGUAGCAAACAGG
rnacentral:rRNA from 1 species